GAUGAACGCUGGCGGCGUGCCUAAUACAUGCAAGUCGAGCGAAGCGGGGACGGGUGAGUAAUACGUGGAUAACCUCCUAUAAGACUGGGAUAACUUCGGGAACCCGGAGCUCAAUCGGUUACUUAUAGAUGGUUCCGGGCUGCAUUAGCUAGUUGGUAAGGUAACGGCUUACCAAGGCAACGAUGCAUAGCCGACCUGAGAGGGUGAUCGGCCACACUGGAACUGAGACACGGUCCAGACUCCUACGGGAGGCAGCAGUGGGGAAUAUUCCGCAAUGGGCGAAAGCCUGACGGAGCAACGCCGCGUGAGUGAUGAAGGUCUUCGGAUCGUAAAGCUCUGUUAGUAGGGAAGCGGUACCUAAACAGAAAGCAACGGCUAACUACGUGCCAGCAGCCGCGGUAAUAC
rnacentral:rRNA from 1 species